rnacentral:rRNA from 1 species
UACAGGGGGGGCAAGCGUUGUUCGGAAUUACUGGGCGUAAAGGGUUCGUAGGUGGCCACUUAAGUCAGACGUGAAAUCCCUCAGCUUAACUGGGGAACUGCGUCUGAUACUGAGUGGCUUGAGUGCAGGAGAGGAAUGCGGAAUUCCAGGUGUAGCGGUGAAAUGCGUAGAUAUCUGGAGGAACACCGGUGGCGAAGGCGGCGUUCUGGACUGCAACUGACACUGAGGAACGAAAGCCAGGGGAGCAAACGGG